rnacentral:tRNA from 1 species
AGAAGCUUAAGUUAUACAUAAACUAGUAACCUUCAAAGCUACCAAAAAAGAUCCACUUUAGCUUCUG